GAUGAAGAACGCAGCGAAAUGCGAUAAGUAGUGUGAAUUGCAGAAUUCAGUGAAUCAUCGAAUCUUUGAACGCACAUUGCGCCCGCCAGUAUUCUGGCGGGCAUGCCUGUUCGAGCGUCAUUUCAACCAUCAAGCCCCCCGGCUUGUGUUGGGGACCUGCGGCUGCCGCAGGCCCUGAAAAGCAGUGGCGGGCUCGCUGUCACACCGAGCGUAGUAGAUCUCAUCUCGCUCAGGGCGUGCUGCGGGUUCCGGCCGUUAAACCACCUUCAUAACCCAAGGUUGACCUCGGAUCAGGUAGGAAGACCCGCUGAACUUAAGCAUAUCAAUAAGCGGAGGA
rnacentral:misc_RNA from 1 species